UGCAACUUGCCAUAGAGAUCAGUCAUUUCCUUCCUAAUACAUGGUAUUGGCCAAAAGGGGGUGCUACAUUCUUUGUGGGGGGCGACAUGUUUACUGAUGCGGUGUUAUUCAUUCCCCCUCAUGAGUCUGUUGCAAUAAGUCUGUGCUUUUUUCUUCUCCUAUCCCAUCCUCUCUACAUUCACAUGUACCAGAUUAGAAUAGUAAAUAUUCUGAUUUGUGUUAUUGUUGAAUGUGAUGCUGCCAUUGUAUGCCAACAUUAAUUUAAAAGUUGGUAAAAUGCUGGAAUAAGAUUAAUUGCUUGCAUAUUUAAAUCCCCCAUUAAAAUGUUUCCAUUUCUGGAUCAUGUCCAACUGUGAUACAAUUUUGUUACAAUACAUAGGGCUGAGUCGUAAUAGUCUCAGAAAGCUACCACCUCUUGUUUCCUAGUAUUUAUACCCACACAGAGGUAAAAACAAAACUCAGAGGUUUAGUUUAAGACUUCUCUUAUGAGUUGUGAAGUAAGACAUUUUAGGUAUUUCUGGUUAUUGGGACCUAGCCCUGUUAAGGUCAACAGUUUCUAAGAUCAAUGGUGAUUUGCAGGUCAAGCCAAUGAAACCUCAUCUCUUACAUAUGACAUCGAUAACCAACCUGUCACACCCUUUUGUUAAUGUUUUUGUAUCCGUUUUUUGUGAGGGGGAUAUACUUAGAUAUUUUUUAUUCAUUUGAUUUAAUUAACAAAGCUUCUCCACACACUUGGAUAAUGUUUUUACUAUAAUUUUAACAUUUAUGUUUGUCCUACUGACUGAAAGUAUAGGAUACUGAGUGAGAAAAAGCCUAAAGAAAUAAAAUGGAGGUCCUCCCUCUGGUCAAACACUGUGCCAUACCAGAGUUGCCAAGCCCAGACACCACUGCAUUGUUUCAUCUCCAGAGUUACCUAAUGUUAUUAUUGGGGUGAUGGCACGAAAUGAAAUAGCAUGAUGUAAACUUUUUGGUUCUGGUCAGAUGGCCAAUCUAGAAAAGCUUGAAAAGAUGUAGUGAAAGGCUACUUGUGAAAAAAGUGGGUGGAUUUCUAUAAGGAUGUCAGUAUUCUUUCUUGGCACAACAUUACCACUACAACAUAACCUGUAUUAAAAUGUAUAGAUUGUGAAAUCUGUUAUUGAAUGUUUGAAAGAUUAUGAAGAUUAUACAUAAUAUUUCACAAAAAACAAGUGAAUUGAAAUGUGUAAAAUAUAUUCAUAAAACUGAAUAAAA
ensembl:lncRNA